ensembl:lncRNA
GAGAGAAAGACAGGGUCAGCCAUACUCACAUCAUUCCUUACCUGAUAACCAGGUAUCAGCCAUACUGACAUCAUUCCUUACCUGAUAACCAGGUAUCAACCAUACUGACAUCAUUCCUUACCUGAUAACCAGGUAUCAGCCAUACUCACAUCAUUCCUUACCUGAUAACCAGGUAUCAGCCAUACUGACAUCAUUCCUUACCUGAUAACCAGGUAUCAGCCAUACUGACAUCAUUCCUUACCUGAUAACCAGGUAUCAGCCAUACUGACACCAUUCCUUACCUGAUAACCAGGUGUCAGCCAUACUCACAUCAUUCCUUACCUGAUAACCAGGUAUCAGCCAUACUGACAUCAUUCCUUACCUGAUAACCAGGUAUCAGCCAUACUGACAUCAUUCCUUACCUGAUAACCAGGUAUAAUGCCUCCUUCUAUUCAACAGACUCCUACAUGGAGACAGAAGUCACUUCACAGCUUUUUGAUCCCACUGCAGUUGAAAGGUCGAGAGAGCGUUUGAACUGCUGCACCAACCUUCAGGAGGCUCUCUCUCUCUCUCUCUCCCUCCCUCCCUCCCUCCCUCCAGCCCAACAUUAAAGCACUGAGUCACUCGUUGAUAAAGGAUCCAUCCAUAAUUUGAAAGGAACACAAAUGGCAGCCGCCCAACUUGGUUUGCUAUGAAGCUGACGAUCAAAAACAGCUGUACAUGUCACAGAUUGGCCCUUUUAUUAAGCUGCAGCACAAGAGAGAGAGAAACUAGACAGGGAAAAGGAGGAGAGGAAGUAAUCCACUGACUGAUAAAGGGAGAGGAGAACUACACCUAAGAGAUACAACCGCUGUAUGUUGACAGGACCAAAUGGUUAAGGUCAGUGAGGGUGGAGGUUAUAGGUUCAUAGAGGUAGAAAGAGGGUUCUAGAUAGAUAUAACCCGUUUUUAGCACGGAGAAUGCCAUUGAGGGCUUCCACCAUUUAAAGUAGUCAACUGGGUGGGGAUUCCUAUAGGUUCCGAGCGAGCGAUCAGCCAUUGGUCAGUUUGGGCUGUGAUGGUCAUGGAAUUUUGGAUGACAGCUAUUGGUCAGCCAAAUGACUGCGGUCACCGUUAUAAUUUGAAUAGCAAAAAUCUAGUUUUUUUUUUCCAUGUCCAUUUGGGGAGGGGGGGGGGCACUAAGCUAACACAUGGAAUUGUUUUAAGAUGGUCAUGUCAUUGAUCAUUUAGGUAAUUUAUUUGGAAUUUUAGGACCCCUUUACAUGUUAAAAUAUUGAAUUUAUAUUGAAUAUAGGCCAUAUAAAUGCAUUGAAUAACACAUUCAUAAAUGGCACAAGAGAGAGUCACUUUUUAAAAUUAGAAGUAGAAAGGUUUUGAAGUAUUUGUCCUCUGAUGCAGAGGGGUUGGGUAAAAAAAAAAGAUGACUAUAUAUUGUUUUCACCUUUAUUUAACUAGGCAAGUCAGUUUAAGAACAAAUUCUUAUUUACAAUGACGGCCUACCCCGGCCAAACCCUAACCCAGAUGACGCUGGGUCAAUUGUGCGCCACCCCUUGGGACUCCCAAUCACAGACGGUUGUAAUACAACCUGGAGUCAAACCAGGCCACUGAGAUGCAGUGCCUUAGACCGCUGCGCCACUCGGGAGCCCCCAAAAAGAUGUGGUUGACAGAUAUGCUUCUAGAUCAACUUUGCAGUAUUUUUUUGUGUGUGUGUGUUAUUUCUUCCAUUAUUAGCCCCAAAUAUUUUUUGUGCUUCAAGUUCCUCGGCGUACACAUCACUGACGAUCUGAAGUGGUCCAUCCUCAUAGACAGUGUGGUGAAGAAGGCGUAACAGAGCCUCUUCAACCUCAGGAGGCUGAAGAAAUUUGUCUUGUCCACUAAAACCCUCACAAACUUUUACAAAUGUACAAUUGAGAAUAUCCUGUCGGGCUGUAUCACACCUGGUACGGCAACUGCACUGCCCUCAACAACAGGGCUCUCCAGAGGGUGGUGUGGUCUGCCCAAUGCAUCACCGGGGUCAAACUACCUGCCCUCCAGGACACCUACCGCACCCGAUGUCACAGGAAGGCCAAAAAUAUCAUCAAGGACAACAACCACCCGAGCUACGGCUUCUUUACCCCGUUAUCCUCCAGAAGGCGAGGUCAGAGGUCAGUACAGGUGCAUCAAAGCUGGGACUGAGAGACUGAAAAACAACUUCUAUCUCAAGGCCAUCAGACUGUUAAAUAGCCACCACUAACAUCAUUUGCCGGCUUCCACCCAGUUACGCAGCCCUGUACCUUAGAGGCUGCUGCCCCUAUAUACAUAGACUUGGAGUCACUGGCCACUUUUAUAAUGGAACACUGGUCACUUUAAUAAUGUUUAAAUAAUGUUUAAAUACUGCUUUUGUAACGAUGUAGGCUGAGAGUCGGGAAGAAAGUACAGGCAGUGAGUGUUUUAAUAAAAUAAACAAAACAAUAAACACGAAACACAAACAGCGCACCGAUAUAUCCUUCCUGUUUGGGGUUAUAUCCUUCCUGUUUGGGGUUAUAUCCUUCCUGUUUGGGGUUAUAUCCUUCCUGUUUGGGGUUAUAUCCUUCCUGUUUGGGGUUAUAUCCUUCCUGUUUGGGGUUAUAUCCUUCCUGUUUGG